AACAGAGGCCUCAAAGCUCUCUCUGCGCUCUAUCCGCCCUCCCUACACAGUGGUUAACUGGGGCCUUUUCCUCUCCUGUGGCCUGAUGAGUCAUCCUCAAAGACUGUGGUUCAUACCAGUUGUUUCUGAAAAACUCUUUGGCCGAGUGCUCACCACAUAGCUCAGAAGAGAAAAGGAAACAGAAGUGGGGCCUGAUACAGAACUCCAACUCCUAUUAAUGGAUGUGAAGUGCCCAGGAUGUCAUAAAAUCAGCCUAGUCUUCAGCCAUAAACAAAGGGCAGUCUCGUGUGUUGGCUGCAGCAUUGCCCUGUCAGCCUACAGAAGGACAAGCAAGGCUGACUGCUCCUGCAGGACACAGUACUCAAAGCACCUUGGUUCAUGAUGAGUGGGGAGUUAUCCCAAUUAACACAUCAGAGAUUUAAAAAAAAACAGCAUUGUUUCAAAUGAGAUAAGUUUUAAAUAUCUAUUUUG